GCGGCAGGCUUCAUACAUGCAAGUCGAGGGGCAGCAUAAAUUACUUGUAAUUUGAUGGCGACCGGCGAACGGGUGCGUAACGCGUAUGCAACUUACCUUUUACUAGAGAAUAGCCAAGAGAAAUUUUGAUUAAUGCUCUAUGUUCUUAUUUACUCGCAUGAGUAAAUAAGCAAAGCUCCGGCGGUAAAAGAUGGGCAUGCGUCCUAUUAGCUUGUAGGUGAGGUAAUGGCUCACCUAAGCUCCGAUAGGUAGGGGUCCUGAGAGGGAGAUCCCCCACACUGGUACUGAGACACGGACCAGACUUCUACGGAAGGCAGCAGUAAGGAAUAUUGGACAAUGGAGGCAACUCUGAUCCAGCCAUGCCGCGUGAAGGAAGACGGCCUUAUGGGUUGUAAACUUCUUUUAUACAGGAAGAAACCUUUCCACGUGUGGAAAGCUGACGGUACUGUAAGAAUAAGGAUCGGCUAACUCCGUGCCAGCAGCCGCGGUAAUACGGAGGAUCCAAGCGUUAUCCGGAAUUAUUGGGUUUAAAGGGUCCGCAGGCUGUUUGUUAAGUCAGAGGUGAAAUCCUACCGCUCAACGGUAGAACUGCCUUUGAUACUGGCAAACUUGAGUUAUUGUGAAGUAGUUAGAAUGUGUAGUGUAGCGGUGAAAUGCAUAGAUAUUACACAGAAUACCGAUUGCGAAAGCAGAUUACUAACAAUAUACUGACGCUGAGGGACGAAAGCGUGGGUAGCGAACAGGAUUAGAUACCCUGGUAGUCCACGCCGUAAACGAUGGUCACUAGCUGUUCGAUGUACAUUGGUACGUUGAGUGGCUAAGCGAAAGUGAUAAGUGACCCACCUGGGGAGUACGC
rnacentral:rRNA from 1 species